CCUACGGGUGGCAGCAGUGAGGAAUAUUGGUCAAUGGACGAGAGUCUGAACCAGCCAAGUAGCGUGAAGGAUGACUGCCCUAUGGGUUGUAAACUUCUUUUAUAUGGGAAUAAAAUGUUCCACGUGUGGGAUUUUGUAUGUACCAUAUGAAUAAGGAUCGGCUAACUCCGUGCCAGCAGCCGCGGUAAUACGGAGGAUCCGAGCGUUAUCCGGAUUUAUUGGGUUUAAAGGGAGCGUAGGUGGAUUGUUAAGUCAGUUGUGAAAGUUUGCGGCUCAACCGUAAAAUUGCAGUUGAAACUGGCAGUCUUGAGUACAGUAGAGGUGGGCGGAAUUCGUGGUGUAGCGGUGAAAUGCUUAGAUAUCACUAAGAACUCCGAUUGCGAAGGCAGUUCACUGGACUGCAACUGACACUGAGGCUCGAAAGUGUGGGUAUCAAACAGGAUUAGAUACCCGUGUAGUC
rnacentral:rRNA from 1 species